UCUUUUCCUUAUAUACAUAUUAAAUACAAUUAUAGGUGUUCUGAAUAAGUGUGUGAUAUUUUAUAUGCUAAUUUCACUUUUUGUGUAGGUCGCUCAACAUAGUUAAUAAAAGUUUAACUAACCGCAAUGAUCGUCCCAUUGAGUGGAUAACUCCGAUAUGUCCACAACAACCAGACAGGAAGCAAUGUGGAUAUUAUGUCAUGAAAUUUAUUGAGAGUUUCAUGAACGAAGAAGAUCCAAUACGCCGAGUGAGAGAAAUGGGUAAGAGCGAUCCGUACUCAAAUGACGAGAUGAAUAUUUUGCGUGAUCAGUGGAUUGAAUAUGUUCGAGCACAAGCAGUGCGACAAGGGCUUUUACAAUGAUCAGUUUCUAUUUUUGUUUAUACUUUAUCCUAACUAAUUAGUGACAAUAUACAGUAAAAAUUAAUUAAUGUAGGGAAAAUUUUACUAUGUAAAACAGGAUCUGUUUAACUUUCACUAAUGACAAUAUAUAUACUUUAUCCUAA